AGUGAACGCUGGCGGUAGGCCUAACACAUGCAAGUCGAACGGCAGCACAGUAAGAGCUUGCUCUUACGGGUGGCGAGUGGCGGACGGGUGAGGAAUACAUCGGAAUCUACUUUUGCGUGGGGGAUAGCGUAGGGAAACUUACGCUAAUACCGCAUACGACCUACGGGUGAAAGCAGGGGAUCUUCGGACCUUGCGCGAUUGAAUGAGCCGAUGUCGGAUUAGCUAGUUGGCGGGGUAAAGGCCCACCAAGGCGACGAUCCGUAGCUGGUCUGAGAGGAUGAUCAGCCACACUGGAACUGAGACACGGUCCAGACUCCUACGGGAGGCAGCAGUGGGGAAUAUUGGACAAUGGGCGCAAGCCUGAUCCAGCCAUACCGCGUGGGUGAAGAAGGCCUUCGGGCUGUAAAGCCCUUUCGUUGGGAAAGAAAAGCAGCAGGUUAAUACCCCGCUGUUCUGACGGUACCCAAAGAAUAAGCACCGGCUAACUUCGUG
rnacentral:rRNA from 1 species